AUUGAACGCUGGCGGCAGGCUUAACACAUGCAAGUCGAGCGGGGGCUUCGGUCCUAGCGGCGAACGGGUGAGGAAUGCCUGGGAAUCUGCCUGGUAGUGGGGGAUAACGAUUCGAAAGGGUCGCUAAUACCGCAUACGUCCUACGGGAGAAAGCAGGGGACCUUCGGGCCUUGCGCUAUCAGAUGAGCCCAGGUCGGAUUAGCUAGUAGGUGAGGUAAAGGCUCACCUAGGCGACGAUCCGUAGCUGGUCUGAGAGGAUGAUCAGCCACACUGGAACUGAGACACGGUCCAGACUCCUACGGGAGGCAGCAGUGGGGAACAUUGGACAAUGGGCGAAAGCCUGAUCCAGCCAUGCCGCGUGUGUGAAGAAGGCCUUCGGUUGU
rnacentral:rRNA from 1 species